rnacentral:rRNA from 1 species
UACAGAGGGGGCAAGCGUUGUUCGGAAUUACUGGGCGUAAAGGGCGCGUAGGCGGCCUUCUAAGUCGAACGUGAAAUCCCCGGGCUCAACCCGGGAACUGCGUCCGAUACUGGAAGGCUUGAAUCCGGGAGAGGGAUGCGGAAUUCCAGGUGUAGCGGUGAAAUGCGUAGAUAUCAGGAGGAACACCGGUGGCGAAGGCGGGUCUCUGGGCCGAAAUUGACGCUGAGGAGCGAAAGCGUGGGGAGCAAACAGG